CGUUUAAAUCUGUCCUGGAUUGUGAGAGUAAAGGUUUACCGGUGUCUGUCAAAGGUGCUGCAUUCCCAAAGGCUUUUGGAGGAACCGUUGCAAGUGUGGGUGAUUUGUGAGAAGGAUGGAGGUGUAACUGUUGUAUACGGCCACUCUAACUGCAUGGCAGGGCUUGGGGAGAUAUGCUCCCAUGUAGCUGCGACACUCUUUGCCAUUGACAGUGCAUGAGAUCAACAGCAGCAGCAGGCCUAUUAAACCUGGC